rnacentral:rRNA from 1 species
GACGAACGCUGGCGGCGUGCUUAACACAUGCAAGUCGAACGGAAAGGCCCUGCUUGCAGGGUACUCGAGUGGCGAACGGGUGAGUAACACGUGGGUGAUCUGCCCUGCACUUCGGGAUAAGCCUGGGAAACUGGGUCUAAUACCGGAUAGGAGCCAUUUUUAGUGUGAUGGUUGGAAAGUUUUUUCGGUGUAGGAUGAGCUCGCGGCCUAUCAGCUUGUUGGUGGGGUAAUGGCCUACCAAGGCGGCGACGGGUAGCCGGCCUGAGAGGGUGGACGGCCACAUUGGGACUGAGAUACGGCCCAGACUCCUACGGGAGGCAGCAGUGGGGAAUAUUGCACAAUGGGCGCAAGCCUGAUGCAGCGACGCCGCGUGGGGGAUGACGGCCUUCGGGUUGUAAACUCCUUUCGCUAGGGACGAAGCUUUUUGUGACGGUACCUAGAUAAGAAGUACCGGCUAACUACGUG